rnacentral:rRNA from 1 species
UAGGGAAUCUUCCACAAUGGACGCAAGUCUGAUGGAGCAACGCCGCGAGAGUGAAGAAGGGUUUCGGCUCGUAAAGCUCUGUUGUUAAAGAAGAACACGUAUGAGAGUAACUGUUCAUACGUUGACGGUAUUUAACCAGAAAGUCACGGCUAACUACGUGCCAG